UCAGGACCGCUCUGUUCCCAUUUGUAUGCCCAGCACUGGUCCUGGUGUCUGCUAUGGUUUCCACAGGAGCUGUGCUGCAUGCAGGUGUGGAUGCAGCAUCUUGG
ensembl:miRNA